GAUGAACGCUAGCGGCAGGCUUAACACAUGCAAGUCGAGGGGUAUAGUUCUUCGGAGCUAGAGACCGGCGCACGGGUGCGUAACGCGUAUGCAAUCUACCUUUUGCAGAGGGAUAGCCCAGAGAAAUUUGGAUUAAUACCUCAUGGUAUGUGAGAAUAGCAUCAUUUUCACAUUAAAGUCACAACGGCAAAAGAUGAGCAUGCGUCCCAUUAGCUAGUUGGUAAGGUAACGGCUUACCAAGGCAACGGUGGGUAGGGGUCCUGAGAGGGAGAUCCCCCACACUGGUACUGAGACACGGACCAGACUCCUACGGGAGGCAGCAGUGAGGAAUAUUGGACAAUGGGCGCAAGCCUGAUCCAGCCAUGCCGCGUGCAGGAUGACGGUCCUAUGGAUUGUAAACUGCUUUUGUACAGGAAGAAACACUGGUUCGUGAACCAGCUUGACGGUACUGUAAGAAUAAGGAUCGGCUAACUCCGUGCCAGCCGCCGCGGUAAAAC
rnacentral:rRNA from 1 species